CAGUACCCAUCCCGCAGACAGGAAAUGAUGCAAUACCGCCGCUCUCAGUCCCCUCAGACCGGAAAUCUCGUCAACCCUUGCGACGAAAACAAGUUACGUUAUUUCACCUCUCGCGAAGAAAACACGCUCCAAGAUCACCACCCCAUUGGGAAGAAACUAAAUCACGACCCCCAAAUGGUAGUCUUCCCAUGCAGAUACAGGGAUGUCACACAGAUCCAAAUGGAAACAUCGAACACAGUAAAACCCACGUGGCAGACAGGACCAAUGGUGACAAUAUAAGACCAUGCCGAGCUUCAUGGACGGUUCAAACUCAUCCUGCCCAGGAACGGCUGGUAUGUUUUUAUGUCUGAGACAAAUGUUGUGCUCAGUGGAAAUCUGGAUAGGCUUAUUAUUCCUUAUAUUAGUUAACAAUUGGACAUAAUUGAUUAUUUACUCUUUGUUUAUUUAACCAAUCAACAUUCUCAUUAGCUUAUGCAAAUCUUGAAUAUAAAGAGGCCAGAAAUGGUGUUGAUUGUCUAAAAAAAGAAAGUUUGAUUGACACGUGCUGACUUUUGGAACGUUGGCCUGAACAAUGAAAUGGAAUCAACUGUGAAUUUUGAGGAUUUAGUUUCUCUAAAGAACAUAAUGUCACUUGUACAAUUAAGUAAAAUGUAACUUUUUGUGUUUGUUUUUUGCAGAUAUGAAAUGCAUAUUUAUAACUUGUCUAACAAGUAGCUCAUUCAAAGGUAUAAAAAAGUAUUUUUUGGCGUGUGUAGGGUAUUUUAACUAUGUAGCCUACAGAAUGCUUGUAUGGGCUCAUGUAGGUGUCUGCGUACGUUUGUAUUUAUAUAACAUAUGUCCGUGUGUAUAGAUUAUGUAUUUUUCAGGGAAGGACCAUAUUUGUGGCUGACCCCUAUGUUGUUGCAACAUGGUGAAAGCCUACAGGAUGUGACCCACACAUGCAUUUGCCUAAAACGUUGACAGUCAAUCAACAGGGGGACAUGGAAAAAGAGGAUUGGAAGUGAAAUAGAGGGUUUUCCGGGACAGCCAUAGGGGAAGGACUGUGGCAUCUUCAUGUUGAUGACUGAUAUGCCAACUCUGAGGAAGUGGUGGUGUAUAUUGCUAGCGGACAAUUUCAAACUUGGGUGCAUGCCACAGGAAAGAGUUUGCCCAUUGGACAGAUGAGGCAAAAGCAUUACUGCAGGGUGAAGUGCCACCAGUCUAUCAGUUACAGAAGAGAAAUUUGAAUAUAAUUGGAAGAGGUGCAACCACAGCUCCUUCAAGUUAGUGGUGGCCCACUCCAAAAAGAUAUGGCGGGAAAAAAUGUUUUGGUAAAAGGAUUGUGCAAGACAGCACAAAAGCCUCGGACAGGGCUAGGGGGAAAAAAAAAAUCAAUGCAGUAGGAGUUCCCAAGCAUCCUGCAGAUGGAAGAGGAUGAGCACGAACUACAAUGUCUUGGAGCCAUUCAAGUUCUGUUUCAACCAUCUGGAAGAUGGAUUUACCUUUUUUGAGGAGAUUGUUGACUAAAGAAAAGAUCUAUUCUCUCAAUAAUAAUAAAAAAUAAUAAAACUAAAAAAAAUAAAGUUUACCACACCAGAACUGGUUGUAUUGAGUUCAUUUUUCUACACUUAUAAAUUAGUUUUUUUUUUUUUCUUUUAUCCCAGAUGUUAGUUGUAGGUAGUUUUAAUUACCUGUGAUGAAGGCGGGAGUGCUUGCCGAAAAAUGUCAGGUAAUUAAAACAACCUACAACUAUUGUCUGGGAUAAAAGAAAAAAACAACUAACACAUGACAACUUUUGUCAUUUCUGUUUGAAAUAAAGGUGCCUUUCCUGGAGCAGAAAGUUUAAUAUAGUUUCUGAAUUAGUUAAUUAGGAUCUUCACCCACAUGAAUGAAUUUAAGUAGCAAAAUGAAAGACAAAAUUGGUUUGGUUGCAACAUUGAGAGAAUAUUACGUUUUAGAUACAUUAAAUUGUAAUGAAGCUAUAUUAAUGUCUCCGUUCAUAAAAAUGUAAGGAUGACAGCAAUUUUGUAAUGAUUCUCAAUUGGAGUAUAUUUUACAAUUGACAAACUAAAGUACACACUGUGAUAGGUCACAGGCGAUCUUUCAGUCACUAAUUAAACCUUUAUUGCAGUAGUGUGUAUUUUAAUUUUGAUGUACUGUAACCGUGUUUUUCAUUUUGGUAAAAUCAGCAGGCUUUAACAAACUGACCGCGCUUAAAGAGUUAAUCUCCCGAUUACACCAAAUCAAUUUAAGGAGCAUGUAAAUAAAUUAUUAUUUAAAUAAUAAUGAGUGAUGCUGAAACCGAAAAUAAAAGACGUGCGAAAAGAAAAGUAAACUAGUAUUUACGUUCGAAU